UACGGAGGGUGCGAGCGUUAAUCAGAAUUACUGGGCGUAAAGCGCGUGUAUGUGGUUUGGUAAGUCGGAUGUGAAAGCCCCGGGCUUAACCUGGGAACGGCAUUCGAUACUGCCUGACUAGAGUAUGGUAGAGGAAAGCGGAAUUCCCGGUGUAGCGGUGAAAUGCGUAGAGAUCGGGAGGAACAUCAGUGGCGAAGGCGGCUUUCUGGACCAAUACUGACAAUGAGGCGCGAAAGAGUGGGUAGCAAACAGG
rnacentral:rRNA from 1 species